rnacentral:rRNA from 1 species
CAUGCAUGUGUCAGUACAGGCCGCUCUAAGGCGAAACCGCGAAUGGCUCAUUAAAUCAGUUAUCAUUCAUUUGAUCCAAACCUACUACUCGGAUAACCCUGGUAAUUCUAGAGCUAAUACGUGACCGUUACAACUCCGACUGGAAGGGAGGAGUGCUUUUAUUAGUUGAAAACCAAGCGGGCCUCGGUCCGUUCACUUUACUGUGAUGACUCUGAAUAACUUUGUGCAGAGAGCACGGUCUCCGCACCGGCUCCGUAUCUUUCGAGUUUCUGCCUUAUCAUGCUGUGGAUUGUAGGCCAUGCGCCUACAGUGGCUGUUACGGGUGACGGAGAAUCAGGGUUCGAUUCCGGAGAGGGAGCCUGAGAAACGGCUACCACAUCCAAGGAAGGCAGCAGGCACGCAAAUUACCCAAUCCCAGCUCUGGGAGGUAGUGACGAAAAAUAACAAUGCGGGACUCUUCCGAGUCUGCGUAAUUGGAAUGAGCACACUUUAAAUCCUUUAGCAACAACCAAUUGGAGGGCAAGUCUGGUGCCAGCAGCCGCGGUAAUUCCAGCUCCAAUAGCGUAUAUUAAAGUUGUUUUAGAGUGCUCAAAGCAGGCUACUCUCGAAUACAAUGCCCGAAUGUUACCUGCAUGGAAUGAUGGAAGAUGAUCUCGGUUCCAUUUUCUUGGUGGUGGGAGCCAGAGGUAAUGAUAAACAGGGACUGUCGGGGGCAUCCGUACUACGACGCGAGAGGUGAAAUUCAGUGACCGUCGUAGGACGAACAACAGCGAAAGCAUUUGCCAAGAAUGUCUUCGUUGAUCAAGAACGAAAGUUAGAGGAUCGAAGGCGAUCAGAUACCGCCCUAGUUCUAACCCUAAACGAUGCUGACUAGCAAUUCGCCGUCGUUAUUCCCAUGACGUGGCGAGACGCCCCCGGGAAACCUCAAGUCUUUGAGUUCCGGGGGUAGUAUGGUUGCAAAACUGAAACUUAAAGGAAUUGACGGAAGGGCACCACCAGGAGUGGAGCCUGCGGCUUAAUUUGACUCAACACGGGAAACCUCACCAGGCCCGGACACCAGAAGGAUUGACAGAUUAAGAGCUCUUUCUCGAUUUGGUGGGUGGUGGUGCAUGGCCGUUCUUAGUUGGUGGAGUGAUUUGUCUGGUUAAUUCCGGUAACGAACGAGACUCUGGCCUACUAAAUAGUCGACGGGCGUUUUGGUGCAUGGGCCCCGUUCGACACAGUCUUCUUAGAGGGAUGAGCAGCGAGUAUAGCUGCAGGAGAUUGAGCAAUAACAGGUCUGUGAUGCCCUUAGAUGUCCUGGGCCGCACGCGCGCUACACUGAAUGGGUUAGCGGGUUGUCCUUCUCCGAGAGGAGCGGGAAAUCGCGUGAAAACCAUUCGUGAUAGGGAUUGGGGCUUGCAAUUGUUUCCCAUGAACGAGGAAUUCCCAGUAAGCGCAAGUCAUCAGCUUGCGUUGAUUAAGUCCCUGCCCUUUGUACACACCGCCCGUCGCUACUACCGAUUGAAUGAUUUAGUGAGGCCUUCGGACUGGCGGUCUUGGACUGGGGCGGCGGCGUUCCCCCCAGCAAUGGGGUGCCGUCGACUCGCCUGGACGGGCCGGAAAGAUGUCCAAACUUGAUCAUUUAGAGGAAGUAA